AUCAAUAUUAAAAUAUAUUUUAAAUAUUAUUUUGAGAUAUUUUAUUGAUUAAAAAAAUAAAAAUAUAAAUAUAAAUAUUUUUAAUUUUUUAAAAAAUAACUAUAGCAAUGCAUUCAACUAUAUGGUAUUUUAAUAUAAUAUGACAUAAAACUUCAAUAAUAAUUUAUAUUUAUUAUAUUUUUAUAUAUUUUUUUAAAAAUAUUUAUUUUAUUCGGGUAUUUAUUUUUUCAGGCAUAUUUGAGCUGAUCUAAAUAGGUGCAAACAUUAAAAAAUAAUAUUUUUUUUAAGCCCAAUUCUAAAUUUUUUAACCUAAAUUACUGAUUUUAAAAAUAAAUAUCCAAUCCAAGCACAACUAAUAUUUAAAUGGAGACUACUUGUUUGUUACUCCUACUUAAGGAGUGAAUUAUUUGGGGGGCUAAAUUCUUUUUUAACUAUCAUGUAUAAAAAAAAUUAUAUUAGAAAAUAUAUUUAAUAUAUCUUUUUAAGAAUAGUUUUAUAUAUAUAUAUAUAUAUAUCAUUAAAAAGUAAUUUAUUUUUAUAAUUACAAUUACAAUGAAAGAUAUUAUCAGCUAAAACAAAAGUGGGUGCAUCGAUUGAGAAUCGUGGGUUUUGGAGGAAGGUUUGCUAUUAUAGCAUGCAAGAGUUUGGAUGAUGAGGAAUGAGAGAAUAUCUAGCAAGAAGUGUUCACGUAGACAUUUGAGCAAGCUCGUUGGGAUUGAAGAUGACUUGGCAUCGUGGUACCAAAUUAAUUAUCCUUGAAACUGACUGCUUUGAGGAGCCACAUUCAAAGCUGUAAUCUGCAAACUGCAAAGGAUGUGAUCGAGUUAAGGGAUCUUCUUGAAAGGAAUUGGCAUGUUCGCUUCUCUAUUUGCAGCCGUCAAGCUGAGUGGUGCUGUGGAGAUUGUAGCAAAGCUCAAGUGACAAUGUCUGGUUAAAAGGACUCGUGCCUUAAAUGUAGGCUAAGUUGUUUUGGAUGUCUUCCCUUUCUAUUAAGAUUAAGAAUAAAAUAAAUAAUAUUCA